ensembl:lncRNA novel transcript
GAAAAUUGAUGGAGAUAAAAUAUUAUUAAAGGAUUAGAUUGGAAAAACGUGGCAUUUCACUCUGGAGCAUUCAUUUUUACUUACUUGGAUUAAGACACCCAUUUCACAAGUGACUAAUACUCAGGGAUGGUCUAAGAAGAGGCAACAUUGCUUAGACACAGAGAGGAGAAAUGAAGCGAGAAGAGGAAAAGGCUAUGUGAAAGCAGAAGCGGAGGUUGGAGUUAUCCUACCACAAGCCAUGGAAUGCCUAGAGCUACCAGAAACAGAAGAAGAAAGUUCUUCCCUCAUCUUCAGAAGGAACACAGCAUUGCAGAAAGCUUGAUUUUAAACUUCUAGGCUCUAGAAUAGUAAGAGAAUAAAUUUCUGUUUUGUGAAGUCACCUAGUUUGUGGUAAUUUGUUAUAGAAGCCCUGGGAAAUGAGUACAGGAAGUAUGAUUUGGUUUGAAUUUCAGCUCAAUUUAUGUUGUUGAUUUCCAUUGUUUUCCAUUAUGUUGAAUGUGUUUGGCCUGUUUUCUUUGUUGUUGUCAUUUGGUAUUUGUUAAUAUGUCCAUUAGGGCAAAAAAUGAUGAUAAGCAUUUUGUAUAUAUAAUAUAUGGUUUCUCUUAUGUAGAUAUAACAUAUGCUUUCCCUUUUUUGGAGGCAUAAUUCUAUAUUGCUGUUGUUUUGUUGUUCAACUCUCCUAGAUCCUUAUUUUAGGGUUAGUUCCAUUGGUUUAGUUGGUUUUUGAGAGAAGUGUAUGAAAUCUUCCACUAUGAGUGUGGAUUUGCCAAUUUCUUCUUGUUUUAUUAUCAAUUUUUUUCUUAUUAGUUAUAAAGGAGAAGAAAUGAAGUAUUGAAAUAAAAAGUAUUACAGCAGAAAUCAAUGAAGUAACAAAUAAAAUUAAUACAGAAAAAUCAAUGAAACCAAAAGUUUAUUCUUGAAAAAACUAUAAAA